GACGAACGCUGGCGGUGUGCUUCACACAUGCAAGUCGAACGAGGUAGCAAUACCUAGUGGCGGACGGGUGAGUAACGCGUGGGAAUCUGCCUUUAGAUGGGGGAUAACGGGUCGAAAGACUCGCUAAUACCGAAUAUGACGAAAGUUGAAAGGAGUAAUCCGUCUAAAGAUGAGCCCGCGUCCGAUUAGCUAGUUGGUAGAGUAAAAGCCUACCAAGGCGACGAUCGGUAGCUGGUCUGAGAGGAUGAUCAGCCACAACGGGAACUAGAGACACGGCCCAUACUCCUACGGGAGGCAGCAGUGGGGAAUUUUACGCAAUAGGGCGAAAGCCUGACGUAGCGACACCGCGUGAGCGAAGAAGCCCCUUGGGUGUAAAGCUCUGUCAGCUGGAACGAAAAAAA
rnacentral:rRNA from 1 species